AACCGUGGAGCAUGGCAAAAACAUGCAAGUCGAACGCGAAAGCACUUCGGUGCAAGUAGAGUGGCGAAAGGGCGAGGAACAACUACCUAACGUGCCUUCAGGUAAGGGAUAGCUCAUGGAAACGUGUGGUAAUACCUUAUAACCUCAUUGCUUCAUAUGGAGCUUUGAGCAAAGGCUUGCUGCCUGAAGAUCGGGGUAGUUCCUAUCAGCUUGUUGGUGAGGUAACGGCUCACCAAGGCGAAGACGGGUAGCUGGUGUGAGAGCACGACCAGCCGCAUCGGGACUGAGACACUGCCCGGACUCCUACGGGAGGCUGCAGUAACGAAUAUUCCGCAAUGCGCGAAAGCGUGACGGAGCAAUGCCGCGUGUGGGAUGAAGCAUCUAGGUGUGUAAACCACUGUCAGGGUUUAGGAAACAAAUGACCAGACCCAAAGGAAGAGCCGGCUAACUCUGUGCCAGCAGCCGCGGUAAUACAGAGGGCUCAAGCGUUAAUCGGAAUCACUGGGCUUAAAGGGUCCGCAGGCGGAUUGGUAAGUAUCUUGUGAAAUACCAUGGCUCAACCAUGGAAUUGCUCGGUAAACUGCCAAUCUUGAACACGGUAGGGGCCAUCGGAACUCUAGGUGGAGCGGUGAAAUGCGUAGAUAUCUAGAGGAACGCCAGAGGCGAAGGCGGAUGGCUGGGCCGUUGUUGACGCUCAGGGACGAAAGCAUGGGUAGCGAACGGGAUUAGAUACCCCGGUAGUCCAUGCCCUAACGAUGUGCACUAGGUCGCGGAAGGUUUGACCCUAUCGCGGCUGAGUUAAAAUAUUAAGUGCACCGCCUGGGGAGUACGGUCGCAAGGCUAAAACUCAAAGGAAUUGACGG
rnacentral:rRNA from 1 species